GAUGAACGCUAGCUACAGGCUUAACACAUGCAAGUCGCGGGGCAGCAUGGGGGUUGCUUGCAAUCCCCGAUGGCGACCGGCGCACGGGUGAGUAACGCGUAUCCAACCUGCCCUUCACCACGGGAUAACCCGGCGAAAGUCGGACUAAUACCGUAUGUUGUCCAUUGACGGCAUCCGAUUUGGACGAAAGGUUUGGCGGUGAAGGAUGGGGAUGCGUCCGAUUAGCUGGACGGCGGGGUGACGGCCCACCGUGGCGACGAUCGGUAGGGGUUCUGAGAGGGAGGUCCCCCACACUGGAACUGAGACACGGUCCAGACUCCUACGGGAGGCAGCAGUGAGGAAUAUUGGUCAAUGGGCGUAAGCCUGAACCAGCCAAGUAGCGUGCAGGAUGACGGCCCUAUGGGUUGUAAACUGCUUUUAUGCGGGGAUAAAGUGGCCCACGUGUGGGUUUUUGCAGGUACCGCAUGAAUAAGGACCGGCUAAUUCCAUG
rnacentral:rRNA from 1 species